CUUAAUGAGAGUUUGAUCCUAGCUCAGGAUGAAUGCUGGCUGUAUGGAUAAGGCAUGCAAGUCGAACGGCCCGCAAGGGCAGUGGCAGACGAGGUAGUAACACGUA
rnacentral:ncRNA from 1 species